GGCAGACGGGUGAGUAACACGUAGGUGACCUACCCAUUUGAUUGGGAAAACAUGGAGAAAUCCGUGCUAAUACCGAAUAAGCUGUGCCGAGUUGAAACAGGCACAGGAAAGAUGGCCUCUAUUUAUAAGCUAUCGCAGAUGGAAGGGCCUGCGCCCGAUUAGCUAGUUGGUGAGGUAACGGCCCACCAAGGCAACGAUCGGUAGCCGGUCUGAGAGGAUGAUCGGCCACACUGGAACUGAGACACGGUCCAGACUCCUACGGGAGGCAGCAGUAGGGAAUAUUGCGCAAUGGGGGCAACCCUGACGCAGCGACGCCAUGUGAGUGAGGAAGGUCUUCGGAUUGUAAAGCUCUGUCAGCAGGGAAAAACGGCAUAUGCGUGAACAAUGUGUAUGAGUGAUGGUACCUGCAGAGGAAGCACCGGCCAACUUCGUGCCAGCAGCCGCGGUAAUACGAAGGGUGCAAGCGUUGUUCGGAUUCAUUGGGCGUAAAGGGCGUGUAGGCGGGUGAACAAGUCAGGUGUGAAAUCUCGAUGCUC
rnacentral:rRNA from 1 species